UACGUAGGGUGCAAGCGUUAUUCGGAAUUACUGGGCGUAAAGCGCACGUAGGCGGCUUUGCAAGUCCCAUGUGAAAUCCCACGGCUUAACCGUGGAAGUGCAUGGGAAACUGCAGAGCUUGAGUACUUAAGAGGAUCGCGGAAUUCCCGGUGUAGAGGUGAAAUUCGUAGAUAUCGGGAGGAACACCAGUGGCGAAGGCGGCGAUCUGGGAAGAUACUGACGCUGAGGUGCGAAAGCGUGGGGAGCAAACAGG
rnacentral:rRNA from 1 species